GGACGAACGCUGGCGGCGUGCUUAACACAUGCAAGWCGAGCGGUAAGGSCCYUUCGGGGGUACACGAGCGGCGAACGGGUGAGUAACACGUGGGUGAUCUGCCUCGUACUCUGGGAUAAGCCUGGGAAACUGGGUCUAAUACCGGAUAUGACCACAUGUCGCAUGGUGUGUGGUGGAAAGAUUUAUCGGUGCGAGAUGRGCCCGCGGCCUAUCAGCUUGUUGGUGGGGUAAUGGCCUACCAAGGCGACGACGGGUAGCCGGCCUGAGAGGGCGACCGGCCACACUGGGACUGAGACACGGCCCAGACUCCUACGGGAGGCAGCAGUGGGGAAUAUUGCACAAUGGGCGGAAGCCUGAUGCAGCGACGCCGCGUGAGGGAUGACGGCCUUCGGGUUGUAAACCUCUUUCGACAGGGACGAAGGGAAACUGACGGUACCUGUAGAAGAAGCACCGGCCAWCUAC
rnacentral:rRNA from 1 species